ensembl:lncRNA
GUUACUACAGCCUGCAGUUUGCUAGCUAGCAAAGUCAUCGACUACCAUCGUUUAAAUACCUUGGCCAGAGCAUAACCGGUUAUCUUCACCCAAGAGACCUACUGUUGGGAAAAGAGUUGAGAGGGACAAACAGGACAUUCACUUGAAUCACUACAUUCUACAGAAGUUGCAUCGAUUCCAGAAAACCAGGAAAAUGUUGAGCCAACUGUAGACUUCAGAGCUGAACCAGGUUUCUUCCCAGUAAUCCAGACUCCACUUCACAGUGCCAAGAGUUUGAGUACAAGAGAAAGUCAUCGCAUUGUUAUUGGCCCUUGGACGCCCCUGGCAUCUCGUGUACAGCACAAAGUUUUCAGCUAUGAAGAUUUCCAGUGACUCCAGAAUGAAAACCAAGCUCUGAGGGAGGAGAACCAAGCCCUGAGGGAAUGCAAUGCACAAGCAGCUUCGGAUGACAGCGGCUCACUUCAAGAGCAGGUGAAGCAAGUAGGGACAACGUUAAAGACGUUUGCUCUAACUGGGCAAUCAGGUACAACUUGCAAACAACACCUGUGGUUGUUAGUUUAAUACCUGUACAUGUUUUUUUUUUUUUUGUAUUUUAACUUUAGUAUUGGCUUAUUUCAUUCCGUCUUAACGAUUCUAUUAUAGUUUGUAAAUCCUAUUUCAUACCUGUUACUUGAUAUUGCAC